GUUUUUGUUUGGUCUAGCAAUUUUCGACGGCAAAACUGCAGCUGCAGUGCCCAGCUCCAGCAAUCAUUUAUUUCCCUCUGGCCGCUCCACAGUUUCAUACAAGUAGCCAAAGAGUUACGUUACCCCGUCCCCAGUGGAUUAAACAAAUUGAGUGCGACACUCGGCAGCAAGUACCCAUCAAACGCGCGUAAAUCAAAACCAAAACGAGGCCUCUUGCCCGCUGCAGGGGCUGCACUUUUAAUAAAUUAGAUUACUCUUCGGGUCUCUGCAGAUCGUCUCGCGAGUCUCUCCAGUCGACUGGAGUGAAGUUGAGCUCCGUUCCGAACGGCGCUUCCAUGGAUCUCCCCCCAUCCUCUCUCUCUCUCUGACAUCCGCGCGCGAACUGCAUAAAUCUUUGGCCCUACGCAAGAGGCGGAGGCGGGCAUCGGCGGUGGUGGUGUAUCCUCGCUUCUUGGAUGCUAACAAGCUGGAAAACACUCUGAGGAUGAGGUCUGAAGUUCUGCAUCUGCAUCUGCAUCUGGAUCUGGAUCUGUGGCAUGCAGACCAAAGAUUGCUUUUUCACAGCUUGUGGUACGUCCGGCGGUUUAUUAAUUUGACGUUUCCCCUCCAAGGAGCAGGCCAAGCGGACGACCGGCACGGGGUAGUUAACGGUGCAACAAUUUGUACACUUUUUCAGCUACCCAUCCUUCUUGCUCUUGAGGGCGUGUCCAGGGAAGGUAGGCCACGUCGUCCCACAGCAAUUAGAAC